UACGUAGGGUGCAAGCGUUGUCCGGAAUUAUUGGGCGUAAAGAGCUCGUAGGCGGUCUGUCGCGUCGGCUGUGAAAACCCGAGGCUCAACCUCGGGCCUGCAGUCGAUACGGGCAAACUAGAGUGUUGCAGGGGAGACUGGAAUUCCUGGUGUAGCGGUGAAAUGCGCAGAUAUCAGGAGGAACACCGGUGGCGAAGGCGGGUCUCUGGGCAACAACUGACGCUGAGGAGCGAAAGCAUGGGGAGCGAACAGG
rnacentral:rRNA from 1 species